GGCGAAAUGGCCGAGUGGUCUAAGGCGUCAGACUCAAGUUGUCUUAUAACUUAUACACAGUAUGUGUAAAAGGCCUAAGGGUUUUCUGAUCUCGUUAUCGAGGCGUGGGUUCGAAUCCCACUUUCGUCA
rnacentral:tRNA from 1 species